rnacentral:rRNA from 1 species
ACAAGCUCCUGCUUCUGGAUGAGCCCGCGUCCCAUCAGCUAGUUGGUAGGGUAAUGGCCUACCAAGGCUACGACGGGUAGCUGGUCUAAGAGGAUGGCCAGCCACACUGGAACUGAGACACGGUCCAGACUCCUACGGGAGGCAGCAGUGGGGAAUCUUGCGCAAUGGGCGAAAGCCUGACGCAGCGACGCCGCGUGGGUGACGAAGGCCUUCGGGUUGUAAAGCCCUGUGGGGUAGAACGAACUGGCAUCGGGCUAAUAUCCCGGUGUCUUGACGGUACUGCCUUAGCAAGCAUCGGCUAACUCUGUGCCAGCAGCCGCGGUAAGACAGAGGAUGCGAACGUUGCUCGGAUUUACUGGGCGUAAAGCGCGUGUAGGCGGUCUCGUUAGUCGGGUGUGAAAGCCCCGGGCUCAACCCGGGAAGUGCACCCGAUACUUGCGAGACUGGGGUACUGAAGAGGAGAGCGGAAUUCCCGGUGUAGAGGUGUAAAUUCGUAGAUAUCGGGAGGUAACACCAGUGGC